UUUCCCCUCUCGGUUUCUUCCUCCCCUUGCAAAUCCGAGAGCUCCAUGGCCGCAUCAGCGUCGAAACCGUGGCCAACGAGGCCCAUUCGCCGCUCCACCGCCUUCUGCAGCUCUGCCGCAGUCGUCUUCACCUCCUCUACCACUGGAUCGAGGACGAGGAGCCACAUCGGCGUCUCCCCGCGUCAUCACCUUCUCUUACGGCUGCCGCUCGAUCCGCCGGUAUCAUCAUGUCCCUGACCUCACCAUUGGCCCCUGCGCUCCCCUGGAGUUGAGAAAGGAUGUCUGGGCGUUAAUGCUACAACAUGCUUGCUUUAAAAAAAUGCUAUUCUGCACUCUUCUAAAUGCUGCAAGAUGGUGGCUUCAAGAAGAUGCUAGUCUUUGAUAGGCAAGGCUUUCCCCUCUAUUAUGGCAUUAUGCAGUUUAGUCCACAGAUACUACCCAUUUCUUUGAUAUCGAUGCAUAUGUAGUGUAGAUCCUUGCUUGCGAGUACUUUGGAUGAGUACUCACGGUUACUUUUCUCCCCGUUUCCCACCUCUUUCCAUUCUUCUCUGAUGCGGCAACCAGAUGGUGGAGCCCAGGAGCCAGAUGCUACCAGUGACGACUACUACUACCCCAAAAGAGCCUACUACUACGUGGAGACCGCUGGCGUCCAGGAGUAGUUAGGAGGCUCUCAAGCAUGGGCCCUUGCCUUUUUUAUCGUUUUUGUUGUUUGUGCUAGCCUUCUUAAGGCAGAUCUUGUUUAACUUAUGUCUGUACUCAGAUAUUGUUGCUUCCGCUAGCUCGUUUGUUUUCGAGCUGAUGUAUUCAAGCCGUCAAGGCCCCUAGCUUGUUAUAUAAAGCUUGUAUUAUUUUAA